rnacentral:rRNA from 1 species
CUGGCUCAGAACGAACGCUGGUGGCGUGUCUAUACAUGCAAGUCGAGCGAGGCAGCAAUGCCGAGCGGCGAACGGGUGAGUAACGCGUAAGCAAUCUGCCCCAUAUCAGGAAAUACCCGUGCCAACGCGCGGUUAAUGUCCAGGAGAGUGGCCCUCCGCAUGGAGGGUUGACUAGAGAUUCAUCGGUAUGGGAUGAGCUUGCGUCCGAUUAGCUAGUUGGCGGGGCAACGGCCCACCAAGGCGACGAUCGGUAGCCGGCCUGAGAGGGUGAUCGGCCACAUUGGGACUGAGAUACGGCCCAGACUCCUACGGGAGGCAGCAGUAGGGAAUAUUGCACAAUGGGGGAAACCCUGAUGCAGCAACGCCACGUGUGGGAAGAAGCAUUUCGGUGUGUAAACCACUGUCAUGAGGGAAUAAGGCCCGCCUUCGGACGGGAUUGAAUGUACCUUGAGAGGAAGCACCGGCAAACUUCGUGCCAGCAGCCGC